CUGGUUUAUCAAAAACAUAGCCUACUAUUUAACUUAGGUACAACCCUGCCCUCUGACUUUUAACAGCCGCGGUAUCCUAACCGUGCUAAGGUAGCAUAAUCACUUGCCUAUUAAUUAUAGGCUAGAAUGAACGGGAUCACUCACUUAAACUUAUUUUUAUUUAAAUUUAAAUUAAACUUUAAGUCAAAAUACUAAAUUAAAAAGAAAGACAAAAAGACCCUGAAAACUAUUAGAAAUAAUUAGUUGGGGCAACUAAAGACCACUCUAGCGUCUAUUUUUUUUAACUCUUAAAAUCUAAAGUAUCCAGUUACUUCAGGGAUAACAGACUAAUUUUAUUAUUUAGACCCAAUAAAUAAUAAAGAUUGGCACCUCGAUGUUGGCUUAUAUUUCCUUCAUAUAGCAACAUAUAUAGAAGGCAGCUUGUUCAUCUGUUAAAUAUUUACAUGA
rnacentral:rRNA from 1 species